UACGUAGAAGACUAGUGUUAUUCAUCUUUAAUAGGUUUAAAGGGUACCUAGACGGUAUAAUUAGUCUUUAACAGGAAACGGUUAUACUAGAGUUAUAUAUGAGGAGGUGAGUAUUUGUGGAGUAGAGUUGAAAUUCUUGAUACCAUGAAGACUGGUAAAGGCGAAAGCAACCUUUUAUCUAAUAACUGACGUUGAGGGACGAAGGCUCGGGUCGCGAACAGG
rnacentral:rRNA from 1 species